UUUGUUUUCCUUUUGCUUUCUUCUUUCUGACUGGAGCCUAAUCCACAUAAAAGCGCCCCGUGCAGCAUCAGCACUAUGACUCAAUGCCACAGCAGUUUCUUCACCAAACACCCUCCAGCUCAUGGAAUGUAUCAGUCUGGGACACAUUGUGAUCUGAUGAAAUAUCUGUAGAGUAAAAAACAAACAGAACAAAACAAACAAACAAACAAACAAAAACAUCAAAGAGAGAAAUGGGUAGGGGUCACGAUACUGCUCGGUGGAUACAGCACUUGCUAGGCGAACAUAAGGAACUGAAUUCAGGUCCCUAGAAUGCAUGUAAAGCUGGACACAUCCACACAUGACUGCAAUCCCAGAAUACUUAUGAUGAGCUGGGAGGCUAAAACAGGAGAAUCCGCAGAAACCCGUGGACCAGCUAGGCCAGCCUAGACUAUGGCAAUGAUGCUCUAUCUCAAACAAGGUGGGAGGUGAGGACCCACAUCUGAGGUUCUACGAUUUCCCUGAGCCAUGUUUUUGGUACCCCACAGCCAGUCAUUUGUUUAUGGCUACCGCCUUGCAAAAUGCCUUCUCUCUGGGUCAAAAACCAAUGUACAUAAAUGAUUUCCCUGAUAAUUCUAAAGUGUUACCUAAGUCCAGCUCUGAUUCUAAUGUAUAUAGAAAAAUGCCUUAAGCCUUUGAGUCUAAGAAAUGAAACUUGUGUACCUGCUGCUGCUGGUGUGUGUGUGUGCGCGUGUGUGCACAUGCAUGCUCUGAGGCUGUGUGUGGCUGCUCUCUUGUACACAUACACACACUCUGAGCAGUGAGGAGCUUGCCAGGACCGGACGUGGACCACUCCUAAACUUCAUAUUGAGUUCCCUUAAAAGCAGGAAGUACCCCUUCCUUUUUAAAGGGGAGUGUCAACACUGGCAGGACUCUUUUCUUGAGUUUGAUUCAUAGUCUUUUAAGUCAAUUCCUGGUAGGACGUGAGUCCUACGUACACACAUGGUUUUCUUUUCCAGAACCAGGGAAAUGAGUAACUCCUAAGUAUUGGGCCAGGAAGAACACCUAGAGCUUUAGCAGGUUUUUACCUUUGUGGGUAAUAGUUAAAAAUAUGACGUUAAGUCACCUAGAAUUUUGUUAUGUAGCAAUAACAGUUUUACCACUUUUAUGUAAAAAAAAAAAAAACCCUACCUAUUAAAAAAAUAAAAUCAUCAUAAUGAUAAGUAAAAUUCUAUAGAAUGCAUUUUUUACUAAAAAAUAUUGUAACCACUUUUCUUACAUGUGUAAUUCUGGAUAUUUUCAAAAAUCAUUAUAUACAGAGACCACUUAAAAAUUCACUGAAUCCAUAUGAGAGACUAAAGAUCUAAAUAACUUUAAAAGUCCCACAGUCUUUACAUACUCUUAAAAUUUCAAUCUCUUUAAAAUAUCCAUCUCUUUUAAAAUCCAAAGUCUUUUUACAAUUAAAAGUCUCUUAACUGUGGGCUCCACUAAACCAGUGUCUUCCUUCAAGAGGGAAAAUAUCAGGGCACAGUCACAAUCAAAAGCAAAAGUCAAUCUCCAACUGUCCAAUGUCUGGGAUCCAACUCAUGAUCUUCUGGGCUCCUCCAAGGGCUUGGGUCUCUUCUCCAGCCAUGCCCUUUGUAGCACACGCAUCAUCCUCUAGGCUCCAGAUGCCUGUACUCCACUGCUGCUGCUCUUGGUAAGGUCAACCUGGAUCAUACAUCAGCACUGUUAAUAACAAAGGACCCACCAGAAAGACCCAACUUGGUUUUCCCCUGAAUAAAGUGAACUGGCUCCUGAGCAAAAUUGAAGUGCCAACAUUUACCAAGAACCUGCUUCAUAUCAAGAUAUUUGUGAAGUACUUUACAGAUGCUAAUUUUGAGUAUUACCAAGAACCUGCUUCAUAUCAAGAUAUUUGUGAAGUACUUUACAGAUGCUAAUUUUGAGUAAUCUUUACGAACACCAUGCAGCUGCUCCUACUCCUUCCCCUUUUAUAGACCAGGAUCAAUCUGGGAGCUGAGUCCACAAAGAAAGUAUAUGACCUUGAUGUGGUGGCUCAAACCCAUCCUCACCACUGCAUGCUUCCUUUCUCCAGACAUUUAAAACUGGUCCCCCAAAGUCUUGUUUCUUCCUACACUCAGGCUUGGGGCUUCCUACAGACAGUCACCCCUCCUCACCUUCCACAUCUCCAUGAAACAGCCCUGCUUCAUGGCUAGUGCCCCUGAUGCGCAUUCUCUUGACAAAGUACACUUUUGUUUCUUGCUUCUCAGAGUGGAGAUUGAUGACUUUUGCAGUUCACUUCUACAUUUACCUCUCUGUCUUUGGCUAAGACUCCAUGAGUCCCUGCAUCUAUCCAUCUCACAAUCCAUAGUGUAAAGGGUUGGCUGGCGAGUGCCACACCAUUCUCAGUGUUUUAAACAGCCAUAUGCCAGCUGCUAUCAGCUCAUUUCUAAUCCUGUGGUGUUAAGUUCUGCAAAGAUAAAGAACAAAGGUUGAGAACAGCCGUUCAACAGACUUGUUUAGAAAAGAGGUGGACUCUGGAAGAUUCUUCCAUCUUAAGUUACUUCUGGACCAAAAGCUUUAGCCUACCCAAGUUCACUUUUGCCAAGAGAAUAUGCAGACUGCUUCUGCAUUCCAAUUGCAACACCAUGAAUCUUCAAGCUCAGAGGGCUGACACCAAAUAAAGGAGGUAGGAAUGGGAUAAGAGGUUGGUUUUAUUAUUAUUUUUAUUGUUGUUAUCAUUAUUUUAUUAUAAUGCUAUCUCAUUAUUAGUUCAAGCUGGCCUUGAGUUCAAGGCAACAGCCUCCUAAGUUCUAAGAUUCCAGCUAUGUAAUUCUGAAUUUCCUUGGCUAGGAUUAGUAAUUGCUAAAUGUCUUGUUCUAAGGUACACCAAUUACACAUACUUCCUUUAGAAAGCGUAAUAUCCCUUCAGAUUCCACAGUUAAAGGAAAUGCUUCCCCAAGCCCUGCCUUGGAAUUUCACAAUGCAUAUUAGCCCAUCUGAGAAGCUGAAGGUUGGAGAAGGGAGGGUCUGAGGGGAUGGGCUCAGCACAUCUAUCUAAGUUUAUUUUGCAUGUUUAGCUGUAGAGUGCUGUCUUAGAGUAGAUUUCACCAAAAGCAGAUCUGGAGAUAGGAUUCAAUGCAAAUACUUUUAUUUAGAAGGUGAAUGUAUAAGAAGUAUUAGCAGGGGAGACGGGGAAACUAGGCUGGAAAUAGAAACCAACUCAACUUGCAUUAAGGAACUAAUUUAAAUUUUUUGGACGACCAGUCCUCUGGACAGCUUUGAAGAAUGUGCUUCACAGAUGUCUUAAGGAUCGAGGAGUUGCUUACUUAAAAUGUUCAACAGCCAUAGUAAAUGGAAUUCCUUUUUCUGGGGAAAGGAACACACUCUAUAUACAGUAUUUCCAACUUACCUAGCACAGCACAGAGAGAGAACAUGACCUUAGUGAUGAUGGUGACAGCAGGUGCUUGCCAUGGUGCCCUUGAGUCAUUGUGUAGUACAGGCAAUGUUGAUUGACAGGCCUGUGAUAUAACGAUGUGGGAAGCAUGCUCUCCCUUCUGUCUUUUUCUAUUUCAAGCAGGAAUCACAGGAAGGCCUAAUAGCAGUAGUAUUUGAGAAACAGAAAUAGGAAAACAGAAUGCUCAAUGCAGUCGAGCAGUCCAGUGAAUUCUAAAAAGCUCUGAUUUAGCUUGACACACAGAGACAGCAUUAUUCUAUAGCUGGUAAAACUCCAAAAGGAAUUCCCAAAAAUGCCACCAAAUACCAAGUACAUAAAUUUCAGGCUCAGCAGAAAUAGCCUUGGAAAAUCAUAAUGGGUAGGGUGCUGCCACACACAAGAGCUUCAAAAUUCCAAACAUCAUCAGGUUCUAACUUUAUCUGUCUAUAAAACAGCAAAGUUAUCUUUCCUCAGCAAUGGGCAGAGGAUGGCAUCCUACCUGGAUGCUGGAGAUGAUGAUCACAGGCUGUUACUUAGAAAGGAAGAUAGAUGUAGGCAUAAAGGCUAUGAGGGCCCUUUCUUAAUGAGACUACAUCUGCUAAAGUCAGAUCAUAUCAUCCUGGUAAAGAAAAACAACUGAACAUCGUGGUAAAUAUCACAAAGACAAUAGAAAGGAUAAUGAGGAGAGAGAAACUGGGGGAGAACAAAAUGAGGCUGAGUGAUCCAGAAUGACAUCUCGGAGGAAGGAAAAUAUUAGCCGACUCGGCUGUGAUAGGAUGGAACACAAGAAAUGGCAUGUUGGGAGCAGGAGACUGAGUGUGCAAAUACCCCAUGAUGAGAACACAACUGGAGUAGUUCAGGAACACAAGAGAGGUAGCAAAUAUCAUAAAAGGCAGGCUGUGAUUAGAAAAGCUAGGCAAGAAAGGCUGCCAUCGGAAUUCUCUGUGUGUGUGUGUGUUGCAUGUACACAUAUAUGUAGAUGCAUGUGCAUAUGUAUGUGCAUGUGCACAUGUGUGCAGGUGCAUGUACGUGUAGAAGCCAAAGUCAGAUGUCAUUCCUCAGGUACCAUUCACGGUCUAUUUCAGGCAGAGUCUCUUUAGGGAUCCCUAGGGGGUGGAUGAUGGGGCUCCAUCACCAUGAUCUGCUUCUUUAAUAGAAGUGUAAAUUUAACAUAACCUUUUCACUUCUCUUUUGUUCUAAGGAAGCAGCUUCCCAAACCAGCAAAUCACACAUGCUGAGAAACUUAUGCUGUUCCAUGCACUGUCGAGCAACCUCCAGAAGGAAAUUCCCUCAAGUGUUUCUGGGAGACCAGGCCAGGAAGGCUUAUCCUGUUCUUUGACUUUUCUUCCCAAGAUCUAGAGCCAUCUCACAAAUUGAAAUCAGUUCUUAAAAACCACAUGUCAACCUUCUCUUCAAAGACUCUCUAGUCCUAGGUUCAGAAGGCAAUAGCUUCAGGAAACAGAACACAUCCUUAAUAUGACCUUUUUCAGUUGAAAGGAGCUGGGCUCAGAGUCUCUACAGAGACACUUACUGAUGUACAGUCUCAAUCCUGGCAAGGCAAACACUCCAUGUACUGUCAGUGCCUGGAGCCAGGAUUCCCAUGAUACAGCUACAAAAUUUCACUUUGUGCCAUAAGAAGGGCUAUGGUGGAUCAACUUUAAGGAUGCAUUAUCCGUGAGUGUCAAAAAGUGUUGAUUAUAUAGUGUCUAGCAAGGUCAGGUUCAGGAGCAGAAAAGGAAGAGCCCCACACUUGGGCUGAAAUCAUGGCAGAGGUAUCUAUUCUCCAUGGAAGCGUUACUCAGGGGCAGGAAUCAAUCUCAAUUCUCUGUCGAUGGCUAUUGCACACCUGAUCUAUGCUCCUUAGGAAGGAAUAAUUCACAGACCCCAGGUGCCAGUUAUACUGACUUCUUAAAGGGGAAAGACAUAUUUGACCACAUAAUAAUUCCAGGCACAAUGAAAUCAGUGUCAGAAGAUACAUUCAUGUCGAGAACUUCAGGAGCAUGGAAAGAGAGGAAGUAUGUGAGGGACUUGGAGCAUAGCAUGGCAAAGUUGGCAAAGGACCGUCUGUUUCCUCAUCUGCACAAGAUUUGUAGACUAUUUGUUUUAAUUAUCUUAUAGAUAAAUAUGGAUGAAAAAAUUCAACAUAGAUGGGAUUUUCUAUAACAAAGAACACCCCAGUUGUCUUUGGAUGUGAAUGCUGAUCUUAAUUUAAUAAAAGCUAAAUCAGGCCAUGCUGGAAGUUCUAAUGCAAGGAUAUAUUUACAAGGAAGGAAGUGCCACGGGUCAGAAGAUAAACAUGGGCUUUAACCAUGGAACCAAGCUUGUGGGUCAUACCCACUCCUCUUUGUUGUGCAAGGUGACUUGGACUAAGUGGCCUCAUCUUCCUGGAUCCUAAAUUCCUCCCUCUGCCAAGGAUACAAAGAUGCCAGCCCUGCCCCCUCAGAAGCUGAGGAGAAGAAUGAAGGAGAUCAUAUGUUUGGAAAUAUUUGGGUGUUCUUAUCAAUAUAAUGAACUUCAGUCUUCAUUUAAACUGGCUCACCCAGAGGUGGGACAGAGUCAAUAACACACCAGGAACCUGUUUGGAAGUACUAAGUGGUGGUUGCAUGAAAAGGGAAGGAGGAUCAACCACUAACACCUACAUGGACAGAGCCCCACCAACUUUAAGAAUCAGGAAGAAACUGGGUGUGGUGGCACACGCCUUUAAUCCCAGCACUCAGGAGGCAGAGGCAGAGGCAGGCGGAUUUCUGAGUUCGAGGCCAGCCUGUUCUACAAAGGACGAGAAACUACAGCAUUACUUCUGCAGAUUCACAAAGGAGUCCACGUUCCAAGAUGAGAGAAAUACCAGAAGCCGAUGGCUAUUCUACUUGACUGAAUGAAAAGAAAAGGAAGGCACUUCCUGUCAAUCCUGCUUUGGAUUCCUAGACAGUUUAAGAAGCACCAUUGAUCUGAUCAUUGGCACUGAGGAGGAAAUGCCCAUCCGCAGAAGACAUGCAGGGCUCAACCCAGCUUGACAUGGGCAGUGAGUGGUUUCUGAUGUAACCCUUUCUGUAAACUACCCCCUCACACACAUGUAAACCCCUGCUUCCUCCUUUAAGUAGCCACAUUGGUGGUGCCUCUGUUGUAAGGUUACAGGGGAGAAUGACUAGACAGUAGUGAGGAAAGCAUUUGGGAAGGUGAUUCGUUUCUGUUUUUCUGGUACUCUCCCAAAACAGGAGAUACUCUUGUUGCAUAGAUGCAGUCAGUGGUUUCUUGCAGUCAGUGGUUUCUUGGAUUUGGGGAGUUAAAAGUCAUGUGACACAGGCCUAUUGACACAUCGAUGUGAGGAGUUUAAGGUAAUGCUGCUGUGAUUGAGAAGAAUCGCCCCAGUAAAGCUUUAGCAUGAAGCCAAGCAGCUUAUAAUGACACAGGAUUCUCAAUGAAUGAAGUUUUAAGGGAUAAAAUCUUUACAAUGAAAUAAAAACAAUCUUAAGAAAACGAUUAGGCUCUAGUAAAAAUAAGCUGUGUUUUAAGAGUGGUUUCUAUAUUCAGCGUUAUUAUCCUUCACUUAUACUCAGAUAAAUAUGUUAUGCUCAAGCUGGCUCAUAGUCUUCAGAAAUAAGAAUGGACAUUAUACUUUGAUGUAAUAUCAACAUGUUGCAUAUACAAAGUAAACACUUUUGGUGAUAAAAAAUAUUGACUAUAAAUGUCAACAAACUUAUUUUGUCUUUCAGUUUAAAAAAAAUUAAUUGUAUUUUGUGUACAUGGGUAUUUGCCUCAAUGUGUGUGUGUGUGAGAGGGUGUCAGAAGACCUGGCGUUAUAGACAGUUGUGAGUUGCCAUUGGGGACUGUGAGUUGAAACCAGGUCUUCUGGAAGAGCAACCAAGUGUCCUUAGCCACUGAGCCAUCUAUCGAGCUCAAAUUUUCUCUUUCUUAAUAGCACCAUCUAUGUUUAAUUAAAAAACUAAAGAUGUUUUUGAACUAUGUAAAGAUAUGAUGAAUUAUAACAGUGAGAGUUUAGAGUUUCCCCUUCCCUCUAGUCUCCCUCCACCUUUAUAAUUGCUUCUGAGAAGUCAUAAUGCUCCUUGCUUUCCAUAUCAUAAACACCAAACUCAUAGAGGAUAACAGGGAUGGGGAAUGCUUAGUUGGCAAAGUAUUUGUAGCAUAAGCAUGAGGCCCUGAGUUCGAUUCCCAGAACCUACCUAAAAAAUGUCAAGAAUGGUGGUGGCAUGUAUUUGUAAUCCCAGUGUUGAAUUGGGACAGACAGCUGGCUCUUAGGGCUUUGCUGGCCAUCCAGUCUCAUUUAUUAGGUGCAUCAAUGGUCCAAGAGUCAUGUCUCAAAUCAAGGUGGUUGGGUUCUGAAGAGUUAUACCUGUGGAUGAUCUCUGGCUUCCACACAUGUACAGGUAGCUAUACAUUCAUGUGCACCCACAUAAACAUACAUGUGUGGGAGCAUAGACUCACUCAGUGUGCUUUAAUAGUCUAAUUUAGUUCAUUUAACGUCCUACAAAGAGCAUUGUUGAUAGUGACUCAGUCCUUUUCAUGAGCACCAAACUAUAUGAACGCUCUCUAUAUCAAAUCAGCAGAAUAGCAGGGCAUAUCAUCUAUAAUCUUUCUUCUAUUGACAGUUAAAAAAAAGAAUAGCCAACAAUCCUCAGGGUUACCUUCAGCUGAACAUCAGAAUUCUUACUGUGCCCUAAUACUAAGAACUGAAAAUGAAAAUGAGACAUGUGACAUGAAACUCGAGGUCAGUUCAACAGCAUAACAUGUUGGAGUUUACAUAUAACAAAAUGUGUAGCUCACCCUCCCAUACUUGCAUGACUGUGCAUAAAUCUCCUUACACUGUCCCAUGUUCCAUUCACUCUUCAUUUGCAAAUUGCAUGAGACACUCUACGCUAACCCAUGGCAGGCUUUCCAAGCUGUCUAAUCUUUUUUCUUAUCAUUGCUUAUGUUCCAAGAAGAUCUGGCUCUGGUUGUAUUUACUGAGAUAAUGAUUUACUAUUCUAAACAAUUACUUUUUACCAUUACUAGAGACAAUUCUGUAUAUAAGAGCCUUUUUAUUCCCUCCUCCUCCUCUUCCUCCUCCUUAAAUAAAGGAAUUUGCCUCUACUGUGGUAGACUAGCACUGGGGUCAGAUUCUUACUGCAGAUAAUGCCCGUGAGGAAGCACGGAAACCAUUAUGAAGGAUAUAAACCAUAAACUCAGCUUAUCUCUAUUGAAUUCUCAUGGACCUCUGAGAAUGAAAGGAUCUGUUUGUUAAUGGCUUUUCCAAAUAAAAGCCACCCAAGGGCACUGAUGUCAUGCAUCAACAGCAGCACUUGGAAUGUCCAGGCAGUCAGGAAUCAUUGGCAUUUCCAUAGCAAGAGAGUGCCUGUGCAUUUGCUUUCCCACAAACAUUAGUGGGGCCUAACAUCUGAAGUUACUAUUAGGUUUAGAGUGGGUCUUCUUUAGCAUCUAACACACAAUGUACUAGAGGCUUUGUACUCUCCCUAAUUGCUUCUCUCUACCUAUGGAGCAAGUUCUUACUGAAGGGGCAUUACUUUUAAAAAGUCUUUAGGAUCUCCUUGGGGCUUUAAGUCCCUGAUAGACUGGAUGUGGUCUUCAAUACAAUGUAUAAACUCCUGAAAGUAGGGUGCUUUUCUCAUUCAUUCCUUAGAAGUUACAUCUCCCCUAAGAGUGUGACUUCUCUUUGAAAGAUAAGGAAAUUAAAAUCCAGGAAAGCUAGCCAGUCAUCCACAAAGGAAUAGAUAAAUGAAGAACAUCUGGAAUUCUUCCACUGAUUCAGAAUCUUAAUGUUCCACCAGGGUCUCAGGCAGCUUGUGCCUCUACAGUCUCAAGGUCUCGAAAAUAGUGGUAUGUACUGUGAUAGCUAUUCUUGUUUGUCAACUUGACUACAACUGGAAUUAACUCAGACUUCCAAGUGGGGAACACCUGUUUUUGAAGUGGGAAGAUCCACUUCUAAUCUUGAUCUUUGAGGUGGGAAGAAUUACCUUUAAUCCAGAUCUUUCGAGGUGGGAAGAUCCACCUCUAACCACAUGGAAGAAAGAAGCUUUUGCGCUUUGCCUGCUUGCUCUUGCCUCAGUAGCAAGUUCAUUCCUUCAUAGGCAUUAGAGUCUGCUUCUUCAGGAUUCCAGCAUACACGGAAGAGCAGCUGAAGCAUUCAGCCUCGUGCACUGAGAGCAACUCCUGGAUUCUUAGACCAUUCCUUCAAGGCAGCCCUUGUUGGACUCGCUGGAGCACAGCCUGGAAGCUGGUCUAAGAAAUCCCAUUUCUAUACAUAGUGAGAUUCAUUCAGUAAGUUGUUAUUCUUAGAGAACCUUGAUCAAUACAAAGACCUAUAAGCAUGAUGGGAAAUAGGAGGAGAGGUAGGAACAGGGGACAGAGGGGAGUGGAGAGUUGGUGGGGGGGAGGUGGAGGGGAAGACUAGACAGAAAGAGGCAGAGAAAGAAAGAAGAAGGGUUUAGAUUCACCUCUGCUCUAUUAUUCCUCUGGCUUGGGAAGUCACUGUUACUGUCUAUCAUUUCGUCAUUUGUCCAACACAGCACGGUCAGUAAGGAGCAGAUGGUUCACUGCCUGCACUCUUGUGUCUUGGUCUAAAGGGUUCUAAUGUGUGCAUUUUCUACCAUGGCCUCGAAAAAUGCUCUAGUAUGGUUUGGUUUUGCUUUUUUUUUUUUUUUUUUUCUUCCAAAAACCUUUCUUUCCUCUCUGUCCUACGUAACAUGAGAAUUUCCAGAGUCUCACCCCACACUUUCUGCUCCUUGAUACCCCAGUCUUCUUCCUGGGUGGUCUUCCCCUUCUCCUGCUCCUAUUUCAAAGUCCCUUUUGUCUGAUAUUAAUGCAGCCUCUUAGGGUUGCUGUUUGCGUGGCUCCUCUUUUCCCUUCUUCCUGCUUUCAGCCUACAAGAAUCUUUGUCUCUAAAGUGUGUUUUCUUUAUGCAGCAUAUAGUUGGGUCUUGUUUCAUGUUUUAAUACAGUCUGAUAAUUCCUGCCAUUUGACUAGAUCAGGUAAUUAUUCAUAAUUAAGGUUCAAUUUACUUCUGCCUCUUUGCUUUUGACUUUCCAUGCCUCAAAUGUUGUUCAUGGAUUUUUAUCCUUCUUUUGCUGCCUCCCUUUAUAAGAACUAGAUAUUUUAUAGUAUAGCAUUUUCAUUUCUUUGAUUUUAAAAGUAUAUUUUUAUGACUUCUUUGAGUAUGUUAUACAUAAAUACAAUAUUUUUAAAAUCAUAUUUACUCCUACUUCUUCCUCUAACUCUUCCUGAAUCUAUUCUCACUCUCCAUCCCCUCACAACUUUAAGUCUUUCUUUUUUAAAAUACCAGAGAGUCCAGUUUAUACUGUGUAGAGUCCUGCAUUAAUGCAUGGUUGAUAUAGUUGGGGCCACACCCUUAUAGAAUAUGGACUCCUCCUUCCCCAGAAGCCACCAACUGUCAAUAGCUGCUCAUGGAGGGGUGGGAACUUAUGACACCCUUCCUCUCAUGCUGGAAUGUUGACUGGCUUGAUCUUGUGCUGGUCUUGUGCAGACAACCACAGCUUCUGAGAGAUUGUGAGUGCACUGGUCUUGUCAUAUCCAGAAGACAUUGCUUCCCUCCAGUCCUCCCCAACCUCUUGCCCUUACAAUCCAUCUGCUCCCUCUUUCAAAAUGCUCCCGAGCUUUGGAGGAAUGGGUGUGAUACGGUGUCCCACGUAAUGACUGAACAUGCCACGGAUUCUUGUUCUCUGCACUUUUACUGAUUGUGAGUUUCUGUAUUAAUUGAUAUUUAGUGCAUAAAGAAACUCCUCCUAUGGAAUGUAGUAGCUGCACUAAUCUAGGGGUAUAGAAAUAUCAGUUCACUACAGAGUCCAUCUAGAAAAAUAUUAAGUUCACCCAUGGAGCUUGUGAGAUCCUCAAACAUAGGUUCUGGUCAGAUGUGUAAUAUCAGACAUGAAUUUCCUCUUUUAAGGAAGUCCUUAAAUCCAAUCAGAAAGCAGCUGGUUGAUGCCAUGAUAUUUGUGUCACUAUUGUACCCAUCAACAUAGCUUGUCACACUGCUGUUACUAUAGUAGUUUACAGUUGAGUAAGACUAUUGUCCCAGCAGCCUGCAGUGCAUAGCUCCUUCCAGGAGAGAUCUCCACAGCAGAGAGAAAGCUUCCUGGUUAAUACCAACUUCAUUUCUUCAUGUCCUGUGACCAAAUAACAUUGUUUCUUCAGCAAUAGGGUCUUAAUAUCAAGUUCCAGUAGGCAACAAAGAGGAAUGCCAAUGACCUAUUAUGUUUGGGGAUUUCCCCCAAGACACCCCUGACAUCACCUGGCACUCUCUCCAUAUUUUGUAAUCUUAAACCUUUAUAUAUUGCCAUUUAUAUGUUACAAACCUCAUAUGAAUUCUAGUUAUUACUUUACAUAUUGUACAUAUUAUAUAGGAUCUAGACUCACAUAAGUUCAUGUUUACAAGGUAUUAGAUUGACCUUCCCAUUCACCGAGUGUGAUUUGCUCCAGUCUCUCCUGAAGAUUUCACUUGCUGUCUGGUAUCUUUACUUAACCUGAGAGUUGCGCCAUUUUUAUUCGUGUUCUUUAUGCUCCUCUUUUCAAAUGUAUGACAUUUAAGCAUCCUGUAAACCCAAUAGCGUGUGUACAUAUGCAUUGUUUUAUUAUGCUGUUCUUAUCAGGAGUACAUACCCAAUACUGUUGUCUUUAUCAUGUUUUAACUGAGGUGAAAUGCGUAUAAUGCUAGACUUAUUAAAGUGGAGAAUUCCAUGGCUUUUAUUGUACUCAUCAUGUUGUACAACCCUCACAUUCUUUAGUUUCUUUGGUUUGAAUUUCUUAUGGCCUCAGGGAUAUUCCACACACCCUCUUCCUCUUCCCUUUGCAAACACAGUCUUUCAGCCUCAAUGAUGUAUCUAUUCUAGAUGAGUUAAAUAAAAAGUCAUGCAUUAUG